rnacentral:snoRNA from 1 species
AACUUUGUCCAAAAGUAUUUCCCCCUCAUAAUAGACAGUACGUGCAGCGAGUUGGUGCUCCGCCCCAAUUUAUUGGGGUGCUUGGCAUCUUAUUAUUCUCUGUAAUUAUUUUUUUCGUGAUUCAUUGAGGGGUAGAUCAAUCUGAAGUUUAUUCUUUGGAGGUCCUCUUAUAAGAACUCUUGUGGAUUGUACUCAGUCUUUGAGUACGCAUAUGAAUCAAGAGUGUCAGAAGACGACUAUAUAC